AGAUGAUGCUAUAAAAAGUGCGACUGCUGACAUACUGACAGGUCACAGAAAGAAGCUUGUUACUCUGACAUGGAAAGAUGACAACUGCUCUACAGUGGAAGUUUCUGGGCUUGAUAUUGGAUGGGGCCAGAGAAUACCUUUAAAAUUGGACGAGGAACACGGUUUGUGGACUCUCAAAAGAGAAUUGCUGGAAGGAUGCUAUGAAUACAAAUACAUAGUUGAUGGUGAAUGGACGUGUAAUGAACAUGAGCUUAUGACCUCCCCGAACAAAGAUGGGCAUGUCAACAAUUAUGUACAAGCUGUGAGUGAAGAUGUGGACAUUAUUAACUCGGCAGUGCGAAGCAGGCUGACUGGUGAUAAUCCAGUUAUAACGAAGGAUGAACAGUUGAAAAUAAGACGAUUUCUCGAAACUUAUCCCGACUUGGAGUAAAAUGAUAAGAAUAUGCAUACAGGUCUCUGCACGUAAAGAUGUAAUGAGAUGUUAUAUGAGCAAGUUUUCUCGCUUACCUUAUUGUAUUGAUCAUGAAAGUUUUGCAAAUGUAUUGAUCAUGAAAAUUAUUGUUUGCAAAACGUAAUAAAAUAUCAAUAAAGAGUUAUUCCAUGUCUAUAAA